UUGCCUUUUGUUUUGUACCACGAACCAAUGGCCGUGUUUGAACUAACACAUCUGUGUUAGUUUAAACACGGCCAUUGGUUCGUGGUACAAAACAUA